AACGCACCUUGCGCCUUGUGGUAUUCCACGAGGCAUGCCCGUUUGAGUGUCAUUAAUUCAUCAACCUCAAAAUUUCUUUUGAACUUUCGAGGCUUGGUCUUGAGGGUUUGCGGGCUCUAGUAGUCAGCUCCCUUUAAAUCUAUUAGCGAGACUUCCCUCUGCUGACCGUCUCCGGCGUGAUAAUUAUCUACGUCGUUGUUGCGGUUCUCAUUGGGCUUGCUUCUAAUCGUCUUCGGACAACAGGAUUGAAGUGCAUAUAUGCGCCUCUUUUCGAACUAUUUUGACCUCAGAUCGGGUAGGACUACCCGCUGAACUUAA
rnacentral:misc_RNA from 1 species